rnacentral:rRNA from 1 species
AACGAACGCUGGCGGCGCGCCUAACACAUGCAAGUCGAACGAGAAGGCGUAGCAAUACGCUUGUACAGUGGCGAACGGGUGAGGAACACGUGGGUAACCUACCCUCGAGUGGGGAAUAACCAACCGAAAGGUUGGCUAAUGCCGCGUAAGCUUCCAUCUCUUCGGAGGUGGAAGGAAAGCUGUACCGUGGGUACAGCGCUCAAGGAUGGGCUCACGUCCUAUCAGCUUGUUGGAGGGUAACGGCCUACCAAGGCAACGACGGGUAGCUGGUCUGAGAGGACGAUCAGCCACACUGGCACUGCGACACGGGCCAGACUCCUACGGGAGGCAGCAGUGAGGAAUAUUGCGCAAUGGGCGAAAGCCUGACGCAGCGACGCCGCGUGGGGGA